rnacentral:lncRNA from 1 species
UGUGCCUGCUGCAACCUAAUUAAUAUCAGUCACCUGGAAAGCAGAAAUUGGGAGACAACAGGCUUCUCUUUCUUGAUAAACAGAUUGCUGGGGAAGGGAUGCACAUGAAUGUGACAAUUCAUUUGGCCAUGGAAAUAGGAGAAAUGAGACUUUUGGGCCAGAUACUUGGAAGGUAUGAGGAAAUCUCUUUCGGCUUCAUCCACCUUCAGAUCAGGUGAGGCUUUUGCACUAAGUUUCGAGCUUCCCGAAAUCCUCAUAUUCAGCAGAAAUUUCUAGGCCCCCAGAAAGGUUGCUCUAAAACUGUAACCAGACUGUUAAUGACCAAAUACUUGGAAAACUGGCUCUGGGGACUGAGGAGGGCACCUGUUGGAAGGAGCACUGGGUGUUGCAUGGAAACCAAUUUGACAAUAAAUUUCAUAUUAAAAAAAAUUAAUUAACAAAAAAAAGGAAAACUGGCCCUGUAUUCCUUUCAUUAGCAGCCCCCUUGCCUGACCCAAGUUCGCUCUUGGGUAAAGAACCCAAAAGCCUGGCCUCCAUAGUAUGUAAUGCAAGGAAUCCAGUAUCAGAACCAAGCAGCUAGAAAAGAAGAGCAAAUGAUGUUUAGAAGCAAGAAGCGGCAGACAGCUUCCCCAGAGCUACCCCGUGGGAGGAGAUGUCCUAAAGUGCUGAGAAAAGACGGUUGUUUUGCGUGGACCAAGUGGAACAAGUUCAUCCCAACUACCCUCAAAUGAAGAUAUCACAUCUUUGUCCUAGCAAAACCGUUGUGUCAGGAGGUGGUUCUCUGAGCCAUGAGAGGGCAAAUGCCACCAUAUGAGUAUUCCUUACACCCAAUUUGCUACAGAAGGCUUGAGGGAUCAUUUUCCCAUCUCAAGAAUCAUAAAUUGCCAUUUUUACAGGAGUCUCAGAAGAAUGAUACUCCAGAAAUGCUUCCAUAGCCACAGAAUUUGGGGAUUAGUUUAGCUAAACAUGAAAAUUCAUACCCAUCCUUCCAUCCAGUCAGUAUCCUCAUAAACCCAAAGGGCAAAACAAAGGUAAAUUAAUAAAUUAAAAUAUGAUAUUGUCAUGGCUGUGAUAGAUGUGGAUGUAGAAGACAAAAACGAGCCAGUUCUACAAAUCUGGGGUAGGAGGUGGGGAUAGGUCAGAAGGGUUUUUGUCGAGACGGCAACACUUGAACUGAGUCAAGGAAAUACGGCAAGAGUUCAUAGGCAGACAGAGUGGGGAACUCUAGAAUGCUUUCAAUUCUAGAGAGACCUGGGGAAAAGAUUGUUGUACUACUUCUACUUCUGCCAUUGCCCAGUUCUACAUAUCAAGGUCAACUCAGGCAGUAAAGAUCCCAUAGAGACUUCACUGUCCAGCCCCCUUUGCUUAGUGGAUUUGUUUCCAUAGAUCUUGGGACAUUUCCUAGUUAUAUGCUCAUGACAUUGUAAUGAGUCCACUGGAUUACAAAUUGCUCAAAGACAGGGUCUCUCACUAACUCAUUUUUUUCCACUUUGGUGACUGAAACAGUGUCUGGGACAGAGCAGGUAUUUUGCUGGCAUUUGUCAAUACAGUACAUGUCUCCACACUUGAUUAAGAAUUUCUGAAAGAUAGGAACUAUAUGAUUCAUCCCUUUUAGGUCUAGUACAACACUCAAAGUAGAUGUCCAAUAACUUUAAUGAAUGAAAAAAUAAGUGAAAAAGAAAGUUCUUAGGCAUUGAGAAUAUAAAUACUACAUCUUCUUGGAGCCCACUCAAACUUCAAUGUGAUAGUGAAGUCAAUGACACACCCACUAUAUGUCCUUUUUCUGAUCGCCCAGUGUCAUUGUCUUUCCUGCCUUUCUCCAGUCAGUGAGGGCUUGGGUACCCAGAUUUGUUUCACUUUUGCUCUAACACACCUUGAAAUUAUCUGAGCAACAGUGGGCUAGAACUGGUAAUGUCUCUGGUUCAUUGGCUUACAUCAUUUUCGUUAUUUAUUAUCAUUUUAUCUUUUCAGUUUUAUUUUAAAUUUUUUAAAUAUGUGAAUCACCAAAUGUUGAUUAUUUGUAAGAAUUAUGUGUAAGUCACCCAUGGAAGAGAUAUUUUGUGGGAAGGAAACCUGUACACGGACCUCACAACUCCCACUAUGGGUGCAGCUGCCUGAUCUUUAAUGAGACUGAUUCUGCCUCCUGUUCUGGCCACACCUGACUGGUCAGUCAAUAUCCCUGUUGUCCUAAUGGACUCAAUUUCUUCUGUAAGAGUUUGUUAUUGUCACCGUAUUGCUGGUUCAUGUUCUGAUAUUGUAUGGCGCUCAGCAACCGGUAGCAUAAGUGAUGUAACUGCAGCCUGUUCUAACUCAGGCUCUACCGUUGCAUGACCUGAAGCCAGGAACUUAGCUUCUGUGACCCAAGCAUCUUCGUAUGUGUCCUUGAAGAUCCUCAUCGUGCUGCUAGUUCUAGAAUCCUUUGAGUUUUAUUUAUCUUCUCAGUGAGAAUCCGUGAAGACAACAGGGAUGGCAUUUCACUCUAACAACUAGGUUUCCUUUAGAAGGGAGAGGGGUGACCUUGGAAGGAUGGAAAAAUUGCCACGGAUCUUGUAUAACCUAUUAACAAUGAUUCGUUAAGCUGCCAAGAGGUUCACAGCCUAACUAUGCCUAUAAAACAACCUAUUCAAUCCCAACCAGUGGUUUGAUCUAUGCAGAGGGUUGGAAAAUGCAAAGCAACAGAAAACUCUGGAAUUGGAAUGUCAUCCAUAUAUUUGUUGGGUGAUGGGAGAGACAUGAAGGAGCAGGGACAGGUCAGAUCAGGGAUUAGUGCCUUCUGCAUCCAGACUUACUUCAGAACUACCUCCUUUUUGAAUUUAAACAUCCAUUGGUUGUAUAUAGCAGCCCUAAAUACAGAAAGGUCACCUCAGGGAGAAACAUGCCCUCUAAACAGAGUCUAGAACCAAGUUCUAGACAGAUUCUUCCAGAAUAAAAUUCUGCAUUUCUUC